rnacentral:rRNA from 1 species
CCUACGGGUGGCAGCAGUGAGGAAUAUUGGUCAAUGGUCGGGAGACUGAACCAGCCAAGUCGCGUGAGGGAGGAAGGUACAGAGUAUCGUAAACCUCUUUUGUCAGGGAACAAAGACCGGGACGCGUGCCCGGAUGAGUGUACCCGAAGAAAAAGCAUCGGCUAACUCCGUGCCAGCAGCCGCGGUAAUACGGAGGAUGCGAGCGUUAUCCGGAUUUAUUGGGUUAAAAGGGUGCGCAGGCGGAAGAUCAAGUCAGCGGUAAAAUGGCGGGGCGCAACCGCGGCGAGCCGUUGAAACUGGCAGUCUCGAGUGAGAGAGAAGUAUGCGGAAUGCGCGGUGUAGCGGUGAAAUGCAUAGAUAUCACGCAGAACUCCGAUUGCGAAGGCAGCAUACCGGCGCCACACUGACGCUGAGGCACGAAAGCGUGGGUAUCGAACAGGAUUAGAUACCCUUGUAGUC